rnacentral:rRNA from 1 species
UGCAGUCGAGGGGUAGAGUUCUUCGGAGCUUGAGACCGGCGCACGGGUGCGUAACGCGUAUGCAAUCUACCUUUUACAGAGGGAUAGCCCAGAGAAAUUUGGAUUAAUACCUCAUAGUAUAAUUGAAUGGCAUCAUUUAAUUAUUAAAGUCACAACGGUAAAAGAUGAGCAUGCGUCCCAUUAGCUAGUUGGUAAGGUAACGGCUUACCAAGGCUACGAUGGGUAGGGGUCCUGAGAGGGAGAUCCCCCACACUGGUACUGAGACACGGACCAGACUCCUACGGGAGGCAGCAGUGAGGAAUAUUGGACAAUGGGCGCAAGCCUGAUCCAGCCAUGCCGCGUGCAGGAUGACGGUCCUAUGGAUUGUAAACUGCUUUUGUACAGGAAGAAACACUGGUUCGUGAACCAGCUUGACGGUACUGUAAGAAUAAGGAUCGGCUAACUCCGUGCCAGCAGCCGCGGUAAUACGGAGGAUCCAAGCGUUAUCCGGAAUCAUUGGGUUUAAAGGGUCCGUAGGCGGUUUGGUAAGUCAGUGGUGAAAGCCCAUCGCUCAACGGUGGAACGGCCAUUGAUACUGCUAGACUUGAAUUAUUAGGAAGUAACUAGAAUAUGUAGUGUAGCGGUGAAAUGCUUAGAGAUUACAUGGAAUACCAAUUGCGAAGGCAGGUUACUACUAAUAUAUUGACGCUGAUGGACGAAAGCGUGGGUAGCGAACAGGAUUAGAUACCCUGGUAGUCCACGCCGUAAACGAUGGAUACUAGCUGUUGGGCGCAAGUUCAGUGGCUAAGCGAAAGUGAUAAGUAUCUCACCUGGGGAGUACGUUCGCAAGAAUGAAACUCAAGAGAAUUG